rnacentral:rRNA from 1 species
UACAGAGGGUGCAAGCGUUGUUCGGAAUUACUGGGCGUAAAGCGCGUGUAGGUGGCGAUGUAAGUCGGGUGUGAAAUCCCUCAGCUUAACUGAGGAAGUGCACUCGAUACUGUGUCGCUUGAGUGUUGGAGGGGAUGGCGGAAUUCCCCGGUGUAGAGGUGAAAUUCGUAGAUAUCGGGAGGAACACCUGUGGCGAAGGCGGCCAUCUGGACAACUACUGACACUGAGACGCGAAAGCGUGGGUAGCAAACAGG